CUCAAUAUUGUAUGAACAUUCUCUGGUGGUUCGUGAAAUCAUGGUGACUUGGGUCUGGGCCCAAUCUCAAUUCAUUUGCAAGGAGUCAAUCUGAAGACCUGUGACCACAAUGAGGAAUUUCAAAGGGGAUCUUCAGUACUGCCUGGAUAUUUUAAAUGGACAACCAGAUAGCACAGGAAGCAGCCCAGCUCCAGAUUCUAGGCUCGCAGAUGGUGAUGCUGGAAAGGGGAAAAGAAACGUUGGUUGAAUCUGCAGAGAAGGGACCCACAGAUAUGGAGCACCCACUGUUUACCAGACACUGAGCUAGGUAUUUGGGAUGCCACAGAAGAGUAUCAAGAAUCACCCCUGCCCUCAAGCAGCUUUUAACCAUUGAGCAGACACCAGGGAAGGGCCAGAGGAGCAGCGUGGGUGGAAAAGGAUAUUGUGAGACUUUGACAGAAGUAGGAGUAGGAGGGAUAUGGGAGGAAUCGGACUUGUUUGGCCUUUUAGGGUUUUCGGCAUAAAUCUUUGGAAUUACUGCAUCAAUAGUUUAUGUGUACUUACUUAAGGUAAGACUCUAUUCUGCUUUUUUUCCCCUAGACUUUUUGGAAAGCAUGUUCAGAAAGCCUCUUAUCUUCCCUAGCACAAAGAUUGUUUUAACUCUAGCUUAAAUAACAAUAGUAAAAGUGAUCAGGGUAGCUAUCAUUUGUUGAAAACUUACUGUGUGCCAGACCCACUGAUAAGAACUGUGAGUUAACAGAUGAUUCAUUCAUGGCCCAAAGGAGCCCUGUCUUUCCUGAGUUUUCAAGUUCUAUACAGAAAGGUCUCCUGUUUAGCCUUGCUAAACUUCGCACUGAGGAGGGGGCCUACCUCGGGAGUCCCAAAUGAGUGUUACAAAGCACAAUUCAUAAACAUGUCCGACAACUUCCUGAGGAAAGAGCUUUCCAGAACCCACACACCAAAUCAAAUAGUUAAGAAGAAAAUGAGAAAAAGGUUUUAAUUUAAAUCAAUUAUACUUUUAAAUUAUUUUCUUCACACAAUUUAUUAGAAGAAGAAGAAAACCCCCUAAAGUUCUGAAGAAAUAUUAACAUAACAUGCCUGUAACUCAUGCUGUGUUUAAUGAGAGGUGCUGUUUUUCCUGCCAUGGGGCCAUAGCCCAAUGAGUGAUGGCUCUGAAAAGGGUCACAUACAUAUUCAUCAAAUUCGACAUGCACAUGUAAACUGGUUUUAAUAGGCCAUGACAGCAGAAGUUGUGUCGGGCAAAUAGCUGCAUAUGUGCUCCUUUCCUCCACUGGCACAUUUAGCCAUUAACACUCUGGUAUCCAUGGAUGAAAUAUUAGCUUGUUAACUUCAGGCCAUCAGUUGUUGUUGAUUCUCAGUAGCAACUGAGGGAAGAGAUCCCCUCUGCUACUUUAUUAGGGGAGAAGCUUGAACUUCAAGAUGCUCAUUUCACUUUCAUGGUGUCAUUAAUACUAUUUUGUUCCCUGAACUUGGAGUCCAGAAGAUGCAUGAAAAUUGUUCUGACAAAAAUUGAUAUUAUACCCAGUUCAAACCUACAGAUGGCAUGGGACAAAAACUGAUAUAUCCAGUUCAAACCCACAGAUGGCAUAGGUUUUAAAACUUUUUCUUAAUACAUUUCAAUGCAAGAUCCAUUUUCUUCAACUGUCAACCAUUUUGAAGGUCAUCAAAGCAUGCAUGGUUGUUGGUUAAGUGGACAUUAGCAGCAAUUAUGCAUCCUUCUAAGACUCUCUCCUUCGUUUUUUGAUGAAUAGAUUGUCAAGUUCAGAAGUGAACUAAAUUAUCACAGUGCAACCGAAGCUACACUCGAUUCAUUUUAAAAAAAGGACCCUCAAGUAAUAAAGUGAGAUGUCUAUGUUUUCUAGAAGCUACCAUACAAGAACAAGACCCAAAGCCCAUUAUUUCAAGACACUCAGGCCCUGAGUUAACAUUGAUAGAUUAUCUUUUUGCAACCAUCUGGAGGCCCCUGGCUACCUCAACCAUCAACUGUUGGAUACCUAUAUUUAGUUAAACAGAAGAAUCUUUCAUGGACCAUUUACAUUUAGCCUGUUCUGUCAGUCAAGUUUCUUCCUAGAUUGAGUUGGUGUUUUGUUCUACUUUCUGUUAAACAAACAGCUGUACAUUUGAAUCACCAAGGUACUGGGUCUAACCAAAGUGACCUUUACAUAACAUGUUGAGGAAGAGUUUCAUAGCUUGGAAACAAAUCUGUCAUUCAUAGUCAAUCACAUUUUAUUACUGAUCUCUUGUUCCUCAUCCCCAUCCUUUCCUGCUUCUUCUCCAAAUCAGCGAUGAAUCCUUGCCAAAAAAAAAAAAAAAAUUCUGCCCUUUAUUCACCAAUAAGUGUUCCAGAUCGUCACAUGCUUAAAAUAGGAUCAACUUUAGUUGCCAAGAUAGUAAACAACACAAUAAAAUAAUUUAUCCACUAA
rnacentral:lncRNA from 1 species